UUAAAUGGCACCAACAUAAUUAAAAGGUUUUGCUAUUAUUAGGUAGCCAAAUUAUUCUAAGUUCUUAAUUUUACCUCCAUUGUACUCUGAGAUGUCCAUGCAAAGUUUACCUUAAUUUUGUGAAGGUUUUUUAGUUUUGUGAACGUAUUUCAU